CCUACGGGUGGCAGCAGUGGGGAAUAUUGCACAAUGGGGGAAACCCUGAUGCAGCGAUGCCGCGUGUGUGAAGAAGUAUUUCGGUAUGUAAAGCUCUAUCAGCAGGAACGAGACAACACGGUACCUGACUAAGAAGCGCUGGCUAACUACGUGCCAGCAGCCGCGGCAAUACGUAGGGGGCAAGCGUUAGGCGGAAUCACUGGGUGUAAAGGGAGCGGAGACGGCUGUGCAAGCCUGAAGUGAAAGGCGGGGGCCGAACCCGUGAACUGCAUUUGGAACUGUACGGCUAGAGUGCGUGAGAGGUAAGUGGAAUUCCUAGUGUAGCAGUGAAAUGCGUAGAUAUUAGGAAGAACACCAGUGGCGAAGGCAGCUUACUGGGAUGUAACUGACGUUGAGGCUCGAAAGCGUGGGGAGCAAACAGGAUUAGAUACCCCUGUAGUC
rnacentral:rRNA from 1 species